rnacentral:tRNA from 1 species
AAGAAAGUGACAGAGUGGUUUUGUGGUUGGCUUGAAACCAGCUUACGGGGGUUCGAUUCCUUCCUUUCUCG